UGGGGGAUAUUGCACAAUGGAGGAAACUCUGAUGCAGCGACGCCGCGUGAGGGAAGACGGUCUUCGGAUUGUAAACCUCUGUCUCGGGGGAAGAAAAUGACGGUACCCCGAGAGGAAGCUCCGGCCAACUACGUGCCAGCAGCCGCGGUAAUACGGGGGGUGCAAGCGUUGUCCGGAAUCAUUGGGCGUAAAGCGUUCGUAGGCGGUAUAUCAAGUCUGGUGUUAAAGCCCGGGGCUCAACUCCGGUUCAGCAUCGGAUACUGGUAAACUAGAAUGCGGUAGAGGUAAGGGGAAUUCCUGGUGUAGCGGUGAAAUGCGUAGAUAUCAGGAGGAACAUCGGUGGCGAAAGCGCCUUACUGGGCCGUUAUUGACGCUGAGGAACGAAAGCCGGGGGAGCAAAUG
rnacentral:rRNA from 1 species